GUCCAACGUCGCGCCCGUUUGCCUCUCAGUAGUGUUCCACCGCGUUUGACACUGCACACUCUGGCUCAUUAUUCGCGGUGGUGCGCCUCAUGCAGCGCUUUCAUCGCCUUGACUCCAUGUUCGGCCUUCAUGUCAGCGUUGUGGUCUUCAAUUCUUGUAAAUUGCCAAUCAACAUCAGCAGCAAGAUCUCAAAUUAAGCUAACAUGCAUUAGUUCUUUUUGCAACAUAUAGUCUCAACGUUUCCAGAAAUGCAAUAACAAUGGCUUUAUCCCAACUGGAGUGUACACCAUGGGUAUGGCUGACACAUGAAAGCAACCUGAGCUCAGUCAAGGACAAUGCUGAGAAACUUUCCAUACUGAUUCAACUAAUGGAAAUACUUAGAACAGGCUGGCCUCUACCGUAUCUUUGAAAGGAGGAAGAAUUACAGCACAAAGGAGCAACAGACCUUUGACAAGUUGGCCUCCUGCCAAAAGCACCUCAAGGAACUGCAUCUGAUAUGUUGCACCAUUGCUGCGAGAGCUCCCUUUCAAUGCAUUGUGGAACAGGACCAAGUCUCUGGGAUACACAUACGACGGCAUAAUAACUUGCAUUGGAGUGGGGAAUGUUUUGCCAAGCCAAUGCAAUUGUCAGCAUGCUGCUGCAAUGCUAGGUUCCCUGAAGCCAUUCCCACCAGUGUCCUGCAGUAAAGUGGCUAAUUGAAAAUAAGGCAUCAGCCUUGUGCUAUGCAGUGAAUUAGUGUCUUCAGAAAUUGUGAAAAGAUUGUGCUGAAAGUGAAGUGCUGUGGCUGAAUGGAAAAAGUGGGUGCCUUUUAUUGCGCUGUGAAAGUGAGUACCAAAAGUAUAGCCCCAGGAAAGCACAGGGCUGGAAGUAUACGUAAAUGGCUGGUGUGGUGCCAAAAGUCUGCUGUGCUUUUGUGCAAGUGUAUGAGUGUAUGUGUGCAUGGGUUCUUUUUUAAUCAACAUGCAGAUGCAUGCACAUUUGUGUGGUGCAUCCUCAAGUUAAUAAAUUUAGUGUCAUUGGUGUUAUGUCUUUCGACAUAACAAUUGGCCUUGCCUCGUGCUGUGCUACAUCUCUCGAUCACAAUAAGUGUUCACCUCAGCCAGUGUUUUGAAGAUUCGUCAAGCCACCAAGAUGAUCUACACUGCCCAACGGCCAUUUAUUGUGCAGCUGAUCAGCAAAAUAGUGCAUCCCUGUGUGCUGUGUGCCAAGUAGACAUCAGCAAUUGUGCAGUGAAAAUAAUUCGGCAAAGUGGUUUGAAGGGGGGGGGGGGGGGGGUGAGUAAGGUUACAAGGUAUCUACAGUUUUCAUCUCGUCAAUGGUGCGGUGCUGUUUCGAAGUGAUGUGCAGUGUGAUAUGUGAAGUGAGCCGUGUGGUGAGAGUGUAGUGCCAUGUGUAAUUGUUGGCUUCUCAUCAUGUGUAAUUAUGUGGUUUCAAGGUGCAUAUUCCUAGUGAGGAGGCAGUCAGCACCAAGUGUGUAGGAGGUGAAGUGCAUCAGGCUCAUGUUUUCUGUCACUGCCAUAUUUAGCAGCAAGUCAUGAAGAAAUCCCGAAUGUCUACAAAGGUUCAAGGCAAAUGUGCUUGCACCUAUCAUGGGCCUCCAUGGAGAGCUUCAUAGUAUGCAUAUGUGAUAUGUCACUGGUGUUCAAUUCAUAGCCAGUGGUUCAUUAACACCAAGUACUUCAAGAAGCACAAUCAAGUAUGCCAAACUAGUUCAACAUGCUGAUGCAGGUUGGUUGUAGCCAUGGUGUUUUGAAUGAGUCACCAUAUUCACAAGGAAAGGCUGACCAGCUAUGGUAAGAGGGUGCACCAUUUUUAUGCUUCUUGCAGGUGGAACUUUCUACUCUGAGCUCUGCUGGAGUUCCUUUGGCAUAUGCAAAGAUUCAAGGCACUUUGUUGUCUCAGUCAGCACUGGAGCACAAGAUACCUACAUUCGAACCAGCAGUGAUAAAAUACAGCCAACUUUUUGCUAUGCAAUCGGAAAUUGGUCAUAGAGGUGAGUCUUACAGGAUUUGAUGUUUGGUGUGGGUUGACUUCAAGGUAUGAAAACAAAUUAAUUAUGCAUUUGUUCAAAUUCCUUGAUCAGCCUUGGGAUCAAGCUGCUGCCUGAAAAUGGAUCCAUCAUGGCAGGAAAAUCCUGUGUUUGAUUUAUUAAUGUCACACGUAUGCCCAACACAGUGAGUAUCCAGGUUUAGGUGACAUCUCGCAAUGUCCUUCAAGCUGCAGUUUGCACUGUUCUUAGAAACUUCUGCUUUGUGGUUCAGUUGAGAUAAAAUUUAUUUAUGCAUGAAACUGCAUGCUCAUUUAAAGUGACAAUUUCACAUUGUCAGUUCAGAGGAUUUUCGUUUUUGGAAGUCCAAAAUAAGGGUGCAGUGCAAACAUAUCAGAAAGUACUAUAUUUAAAGUAGCUAUACAUUUUAACUCACUUUAUCAAUUUGACUGCUGUAGUUCACACGUAGCCUUACGAAUAUCAUAUAAAUAUGCAUAUAACUCCUUGGUAAAAAGAACAGGCACAAAGCUUAUACACAAAUUCAUUAGAAAUUAGUGUAGCUUAAUCAGCUCUUCUGAAGUGUGCAUGUUUGGUGGUGGUGUUAAAACCAUCAUUGCAUGUAUGCUGAAAGGCUUCCAGGUUGUUGCUGGCUGUGGUUAGACCAGUGCUCCCACAGGUAUGUGUUUUAUCACUCAGCAAUUGGCAGCAGUACAGUAUGCAGUGUAGGUGGUGUACCUUUCAUCUGUUGGAUUCUAGUGGGUAAUGUGCCUGACCUUUUAUGAAUGUAAGUACUCCAAUCACCUUAUUGCUAUUCCACAACAUGCAUGCACUACCAUACACACAUGACCAUGCACUAAUGAAAAGUUAAAAAAAAAUUACUGUAAUCUCUCCAAACUGCUUCUAGCACAUAUCAGUGUGGUGAACCACUGAAAGUCAAGCAAAAUGGUACAAAACUAUGUUUGCCAUGUUUAGCUGGAAAAGAUAUAGCAGAGUCAAAAACUUGAUUUCUAUGUAUUCACUGGAAAUUGAACAAAAUUUAUAGAUUAUUGAA
rnacentral:lncRNA from 1 species